rnacentral:rRNA from 1 species
AUACGGAGGGGGCGAGCGUUAUUCGGAAUCAUUGGGCGUAAAGGGCGCGUAGGCGGCCUGACAAGUCAGGGGUGAAAUCCCUCGGCUCAACCGAGGAACUGCCUCUGAAACUGUCAGGCUUGAGGCCGGGAGAGGGUAGUGGAAUUCCCAGUGUAGCGGUGAAAUGCGUAGAUAUUAGGAGGAACACCAGUGGCGAAGGCGGCUACCUGGACCGGUUCUGACGCUGAGGCGCGAAAGUGUGGGGAGCAAACAGGAUUAGAAACCCUUGUAGUCC